UACGUAGGGCGCAAGCGUUAUCCGGAAUUAUUGGGCGUAAAGAGCUCGUAGGCGGUUUGUCGCGUCUGCUGUGAAAGACCGGGGCUCAACUCCGGUUCUGCAGUGGGUACGGGCAGACUAGAGUGCAGUAGGGGAGACUGGAAUUCCUGGUGUAGCGGUGAAAUGCGCAGAUAUCAGGAGGAACACCAAUGGCGAAGGCAGCUCGCUGGGACGGUACUGACGCUGAGGCGCGAAAGCGUGGGGAGCAAACAGG
rnacentral:rRNA from 1 species